rnacentral:rRNA from 1 species
AGACGUCUACAUUAGAUACCCCGGUAGUCCCAGCCGUAAACUAUGCGCGUUAGGUGUAUCGGUGACCACGAGUUACCGAGGUGCCGAAGGGAAACCGUGAAACGUGCCGCCUGGGAAGUACGGUCGCAAGGCUGAAACUUAAAGGAAUUGGCGGGGGAGCACCACAACAGGUGGAGCCUGCGGUUUAAUUGGACUCAACGCCGGGAAGCUCACCGGAUAGGACAGCAGAAUGAUUGCCGGGCUGAAGACUCUGCAUGACUAGCUG